GAUGAACGCUGGCGGCGUGCCUAAUACAUGCAAGUCGAGCGAACGGACGAGAAGCUUGCUUCUCUGAUGUUAGCGGCGGACGGGUGAGUAACACGUGGAUAACCUACCUAUAAGACUGGGAUAACUUCGGGAAACCGUAGCUAAUACCGGAUAAUAUUUUGAACCGCAUGGUUCAAAAGUGAAAGACGGUCUUGCUGUCACUUAUAGAUGGAUCCGCGCUGCAUUAGCUAGUUGGUAAGGUAACGGCUUACCAAGGCAACGAUGCAUAGCCGACCUGAGAGGGUGAUCGGCCACACUGGAACUGAGACACGGUCCAGACUCCUACGGGAGGCAGCAGUGGGGAAUCUUCCGCAAUGGGCGAAAGCCUGACGGAGCAACGCCGCGUGAGUGAUGAAGGUCUUCGGAUCGUAAAACUCUGUUAUUAGGGAAGAGCAUAUGUGUAAGUAACUGUGCACAUCUUGACGGUACCUAAUCAGAAAGCCACGGCUAACUACGUG
rnacentral:rRNA from 1 species